CAUUGUGGGAACAAGAUCCCGGCAGCGCGAAAAGUUUAAGACGCAUCCGCCAUUACACACGCAGAUGACCGCGGGCAAAGUUGCUUUUUAGAGCCGGAUUUCGGGUGUGUGGAAGCCAUUCUGACACUUAUGUGGUAAAACUUAAACUUAAAAACGAAAAUUAUGUUUUGCUUGAUAAGCUGUUAACGUAACGUUAUUUUUAGUUACCAUCUGGCAUUAACUGGUAGGCAAAUGAAUGUCGGAGCCGUCACGUUUAUCAUUUUAUGCAUAUCGUCACACAUUGAAAGAGUUAGUUAAGACUCGUGGAGGUUCUCGAUUGUAGUGUCCUUGUUGUAAUGGGCUUAUUUACUUUUAUUUGUCGUGAUGCGGUUUAUUUCUUGCCGAGCGAAUCCGUUAACUAGUUGUGAUAGUUCUAACGUUAGCUAGUGUUUUUAGAGCAAUUUAAUGCCUUCAAGCAAAAGCAACCAGAGGAAUCGUCAAGAAAAGUAAACGCCAUUAAGACUUGCUUGAUUUGAAAGGCAUGAAGACACAACGUGAAGAGACUGUUUGUGAAUAUGCAGUAACUUGACCGCUACAGCUGGAUCAAGGAAAACACCAGCACCUUUUCUGCAAAAUGAGGACUUUUCUGCUGUAGUUUACAUCCCAAGCACCACCUGCAUGCUUCUUAUGGGUGGUGGACAUUCAGGGUUGCUGUCAUUCAAGAAGUUAUUGACCACAUCUCCUACCCUAUUGAGGCAGUAAGAUGCAAAAUACCUGAAGAAUAUGGCACUUAUCCUGGAUUUCAUAUAAAGAAAUCCUGAACGAAGGUUGAAAAGGCUGAGAUGAAGGAAACGUCCCCAUUCCUCCAAAACUGCUGAAGUUCCUGUAUGAACAACUUCGAAAAACCAGCUGGCAUCUUGGGGAGGACGACCUCGCAUCCAGUAUGCUGCUGUGGGUGCCGCAGGAUUUCGAACUCAUUCGAUCACUUGUCUCUAUGCUUUUCGAACUGUGGCGACUAAUCGUGCCUUGCUGUGGGUCAAGCCGCUGGAUCUUCAGAUCUUCUUCGAUUUGCUUAAUCCAUCCUUUUUUUGGGUGCAAUGCGCUGGAUUCUACACUGGGUUGGACGUUUCCUCCAGAGGACUUGUGUGGUAUUCAAUUUGCAUCCAUUCUGCAUGUGUCCAAACAUUUCACUCUAUUGACUAGAAGUCUAAAGCAAUUUUUAAAAGCAGAAGCCUUAUCUUCAUUGCAUUUUGUUUGUUUCUGUAUUGUAUCGUAUUCUAUUAGUAUUGCAUUUGAAAAUGUUUUGAAUCUUGACUUUCACAGUUUAUGAAGGUUUUUUUUUUUCCAUUUUUU